rnacentral:pre_miRNA from 1 species
UCUUUAAUGUAAGUGUGUCCCAUACAACAUUUGGGACAUACUUAUACUAAAA